AGGAACAGAACAAAGGCAAACAUCACGGGGGUUAGUUAAAAUUUCGUUCUCUUUUUCUUGUUCUCGCUCACUAUCUUCAUUUUCUCUCGUUUCUUUUUCAACAUCUUUUUCUUUUUCAAUUUUUUUCUCAAUCUCAAUCUCAAUUUUCUUUUCUUCAUUUUCUUUUUCUCCCAGUUUUUUUUAUUUCUUUUUCUUUUUCUUCUUUUUCAUUUUUAUUACAAUAUGAGGUCGAUACAAAAG
rnacentral:lncRNA from 1 species